rnacentral:rRNA from 1 species
UACGUAGGGUGCGAGCGUUGUCCGGAAUUAUUGGGCGUAAAGAGCUUGUAGGCGGUUUGUCGCGUCUGCCGUGAAAUUUCGAGGCUCAACCUCGAACUUGCGGUGGGUACGGGCAGACUAGAGUGUGGUAGGGGAGACUGGAAUUCCUGGUGUAGCGGCGAAAUGCGCAGAUAUCAGGAGGAACACCGAUGGCGAAGGCAGGUCUCUGGGCCACUACUGACGCUGAGAAGCGAAAGCAUGGGGAGCAAACAGG